ACGUAGGAGGCAAGCGUUAUCCGGAGUUACUGGGCGUAAAGCGCAUGUAGGCGGUUGGGUAAGUGGCGUGUGAAAGCUCCCGGCUAAACUGGGAGAGGACAGGUCAGACUGCCGAACUGGAGUCCGAUAGAGGAGCGUAGAAUUCCGGGUGUAGCGGUGAAAUGUGUAGAGAUCCGGAGGAAUACCAGUGGCGCAAGCGGCGCUCUGGGUCGGGACUGACGCUGAGAUGCGAAAGCGUGGGGAGCGAACGGGA
rnacentral:rRNA from 1 species